rnacentral:rRNA from 1 species
CCUACGGGAGGCAGCAGUGGGGAAUUUUGGACAAUGGGGGCAACCCUGAUCCAGCCAUGCCGCGUGAGUGAAGAAGGCCUUCGGGUUGUAAAGCUCUUUCGGCCGGGAAGAAAUCGCUUAGGUUAAUACCCUGAGUGGAUGACGGUACCGGAAUAAGAAGCACCGGCUAACUACGUGCCAGCAGCCGCGGUAAUACGUAGGGUGCGAGCGUUAAUCGGAAUUACUGGGCGUAAAGCGUGCGCAGGCGGUUUUGUAAGACAGGCGUGAAAUCCCCGGGCUCAACCUGGGAACUGCGCUUGUGACUGCAUCACUCGAGUACGGCAGAGGGGGGUGGAAUUCCACGUGUAGCAGUGAAAUGCGUAGAGAUGUGGAGGAACACCGAUGGCGAAGGCAGCCCCCUGGGCCGAUACUGACGCUCAUGCACGAAAGCGUGGGUAGCAAACAGGAUUAGAUACCCUGGUAGUCCACGCCCUAAACGAUGUCAACUAGGUGUUGGGUGGGUAAAACCAUUUAGUACCGUAGCUAACGCGUGAAGUUGACCGCCUGGGGAGUACGGCCGCAAGGUUAAAACUCAAAUGAAUUGACGG